CUCUUUUUUCGGUUCAUCUCUUCCUCCGCCAUUAGCAAACACAAAACUGCAGUCGCCUUCUCUUAUCUUUUCUUACAUAUUUUCUGCUCCCAAAUGAACAAUAAUAAGAGAGCCAAUCAUCUCUUCGUCCUCCUAACCCAUCACCGCCGCCACCACCAUCCGUUUCCUUAUCACUCCUGCAACCACCAUCACAACCGCCGUCUCACUUUCUCUGUAAGAUAACCUUUUACAUAAAUCAAAACCAUAGAAAACCACCUUCUCACUUACUCUGAAUGAUAAAGCCUUUUACAUAAAUCAAAACCCUGGAACAUUGAUUUCAAAUUGAUUUUGUAAACCCUAAAUUUAAUUUUAUCUAGAUUUUGAAUUUGCACUUCAAGUGCAAAACCUUGAAGAUUCUGCUGUGUGAAGAUUCUGAGACUUCGAUCUGGUUGUAGGAUGCCUGAUGGCCAAAUGCUUAAUAAUAAGACUGUGAGAUGAUGCAUUCAACACUUAUUUGCGUCAUACCAUUCACAGCUUCACAAGUUCAAUUGCAUCAUCACCAUUUGCAGCCACCAACACACCACCAAGCUAGCUACAGUUCUCCUUCCCUAUGAUAACCAAUAUCAAGUAUUAAGUUUAUAUUUUUUAUCUUGAAUGGUUGCGCAUUUUGUUAUGAUAGUUAAGGCUCAACACUUAUGGAUCUUACCACUUUAAUCCUUCGUCCGAGAAUCGGGCAGUCUCAUGAAACAAUGAUAAAGCCUUAACUCAGCAUGAUUUUUCUUUUAAAAGUUUAUCACAUGUGUGCUAAAUUGGUAAGCUAGGAUUGGCAUUGGGAUUUUUUUGGUUUAAAGUGUUGGUGCUUGUGCCAACGUGAGAAUUGUGUAUUCAGGUUAAGGAAAUCCCUCAAAAAUUACUGCACUGAUUCCAUUGGAUGGUUCUAGGUCUUUUAAUGGGACGUGAAGAACAUAUCAUCGAGGCUUCACAAAGGUAUAUAAAUGCAAUACUUCCGAUAGCUACCUUUUUGUCCAAAUUUGGUAGUAGGAAAAGAGAUUUAGGGGUAAUUUUUGUGUGGUAUUACCGUCGAUUAGUUUAGUAUUUUGUUUUUAUGGUAUGAUUCUAGGUAUGUCAUCCUUUGGAUGGUAGAACUGGAUAUGGAAUGGGUUUAUGCAAGAGUAUUUGCUUCAGGACUUGUAAGCUCACUACUCCUAGCUGUAAGCUCUCAACCUUGAUGUAUGUAACCUAUUUGAUUUUAAUUUAAUGAAGCUUCUUACA